rnacentral:rRNA from 1 species
UCAGAACGAACGCUGGCGGCGCGCUUAAGCAUGCAAGUCGAACGGCAAGGAAGUGCUUGCACUUCCCUAGAGUGGCGGACUGGUGAGUAACACGUGGGUGACUAUACCUUUAGUUGGGGAUAGCUAUUAGAAAUAGUAGAUAAUACCGAAUGUGACCAUUACAGUUAGAGUGUAAUGAGGAAAGGAGCUAAGGCUCGCUAGAAGAUUGGCCCGCGGCCCAUUAGCUAGUUGGUGAGGUAACGGCCCACCAAGGCAAUGAUGGGUAUCCGGCCUGAGAGGGUGAUCGGACACAUUGGGACUGAGAUACGGCCCAGACUCCUACGGGAGGCAGCAGCUAAGAAUAUUCCACAAUGGACGAAAGUCUGAUGGGGCGACGCCGCGUGGAAUGAUGAAGGCCGAAAGGUUGUAAAAUCCUUUUAAACUGGAAGAAUAAUCAUGGUAGGGAAUGACCGUGAGGUGACCGUACAGUUUGAAUAAGCAACGGCUAAUUACGUGCCAGCCGCCGC